rnacentral:rRNA from 1 species
UACGGGGGGGGGCAAGCGUUGUUCGGAAUUACUGGGCGUAAAGGGCGCGUAGGCGCCUUCUAAGUCAGACGUGAAAUCCCUCGGCUCAACCGAGGAACUGCGUCUGAUACUGGAAGGCUUGAAUCCGGGAGAGGGAUGUGGAAUUCCAGGUGUAGCGGUGAAAUGCGUAGAUAUCUGGAGGAACACCGGUGGCGAAGGCGGCAUCCUGGGACCGGUAUUGACGCUGAGGCGCGAAAGCUAGGGGAGCAAACGGG